AUCAUCUUGUUAUUCUUAUUCAUCAAUCUUCUAUCUUCUUUCCUAUGAAAAAAAAAAGCUCUAAUCCUUGUCAAUUAAUUCAGAUUCAUCAUUGAAAAGGUCAAAUUAGGUUCCCGCUAAUGCUCCAACAUUUCAUCAGCUCGGAUCUCUAGGUUCAUCGAUCUUUAUCUUCUUCCUUGAGAAGGAAGAAGCUAAUCUUAAUUUCUCCGAUCAAGUCAGGUCCAUCAUGAUAAAAGGCAAAUUGGACUUAUGUCAAUCCUG
rnacentral:lncRNA from 1 species